rnacentral:rRNA from 1 species
UACGUAGGGGGCGAGCGUUGUCCGGAAUUACUGGGCGUAAAGGGUGCGUAGGCGGCCUGAUAAGUCAGAUGUGAAAUACCGAGGCUUAACUUCGGGGAUGCAUUUGAAACUGUUGGGCUUGAGUGCAAGAGAGGAAAGUGGAAUUCCUAGUGUAGCGGUGAAAUGCGUAGAGAUUAGGAGGAACACCAGUGGCGAAGGCGGCUUUCUGGCUUGUAACUGACGCUGAGGCACGAAAGCGUGGGUAGCGAACAGGAUUAGAUACCCUGGUAGUCCACGCCGUAAACGAUGGAUACGAGGUGUAGGGGGUAUCGACCCCCUCUGUGCCGGAGUUAACGCAAUAAGUAUCCCGCCUGGGGAGUACGUGCGCAAGCAUGAA